AUAAUUAGCAUAUAAUGAGCAGUGAGGACAACUAGAGUUCACUCUCAUGGCCAUCUUGGUUUUCAUUACAACCUGUUUUAUCAGCAAGGUCUUGUGCUGACCUCCUUUCUCAUCCUGUGACGUACAAUGUUUAACCUCCUGGGAAUGCAGCCCAGUAGGUCUCAGCCCUGUUUUAACCAGCCCCUGUUCAAGAUGGAAUCGCUCUGGUUGAAAGGCCUCUGACACUAUCAUCAUUCUCUACAGCUGAAUCAAGUCUGAGAUUAUACAUCUCCCUCUGUUCCCAUCUCUCUAUGGCGAUUGAACUAUGGAAGCACUCCAUUUACAGGCAGAGAACUCUGCAUUUGAGCUGGGCAGAUGAAGAAACUAAACUGAGAACAGCCAAAUUACUCGCUCGUGUUUAACCAGCUAUUUUGCAGCAGAGCAGAGAAUCAGCACAAUUACCAUUUAUUGAAAAUCAACUGCAGACCAGAGAUACUGUUCUACAGUGUCAGUUGCCCAUUUAGAUCAACCAUCAGACCUAGUCAUGGAGAAAAGGCAGAACACAGAAUGUAGGAAAGAAUGAGCCAGGAUCUUGUGGACCAUCAGCUGAAGCCUGAAUCUUCCUCGCCAGAAAAACCCCAGCAACCAAUUACCCUGGACGUGACACCGAGGCCCACCUAGUGGUCAGCCAUCUGCCUAGGCAGACAAUAAAGCUCAAUUUUUCUCC